rnacentral:misc_RNA from 1 species
AACUUUUGGCAACGGAUCUCUCGGUUCUCGCAUCGAUGAAGAGCGUAGCGAAUUGCGAAAAGUAAUGUGAUUUGCAACAUUCGUGAAUCAUUGAAUUCUUGAACGCACCUUGCACCGUGUGGGUUAACUGCACGGUCUGCCUGUCUGAGUAUUGACUAGAACUCUUAUCAGCCUUGAGCUGGAUGAUGGAUGCUUCACCCCACAUACAUGGAGUGGCAUCUACAAUGCAAUUAUGCACAAGAUGGAACUGCAUAUGAUCUCCAAGCACUUGUUGCUGAGUAGUUCAUAUGCACAGUAGAUCCAAUGCAAUUCAGUCAACACCUUCUCUUUUGCAAUCUCAGAUCAGGUAGGAUUACCCGCUUAACUUAAGCAUAUCAAUAAGCGGAGGCU